rnacentral:rRNA from 1 species
GAAACCCCCUCGCCGCAAGACUAAGGUUUCCUGAUCAACGCUAAUCGGAUCAGGGUUAGUCGGGUCCUAAGGCUCAGCCGAACGGUGAGGCCGAUGGCAGAACAGGUUAAUAUUCCUGUACUACCUAUAGGAGUGAUGUGGAGACGGAGGAGUGACAACGCCGCGGACUGACGGAAUAGUCCGUUAAAGGGUGUAGAUGUUGAUUAUCCCAGGCAAAUCCGGGAUAAGAGUCGAACCUGACAGUAUACCAAUUUCCUCGGAAAACGGUAAUAGUGCGUGUAAACAUACUCCCAAGAAAAUCCGCUAAACUUAAUCUUAUAGGUACCCGUACCGUAAACGGACACACGUAGUCGGGUUGAAUAUACUCAGGCGCUUGAGUGAAUCACGGUUAAGGAACUAGGCAAAUUGACCCUGUAACUUCGGGAUAAAGGGUCCCUACCCGGUGACGGGAGGGCGCAGAGAAUAGGUCCAGGCAACUGUUUAACAAAAACACAGGGCUGUGCAAAAUUGAAAGAUCACGUAUACAGCCUGACACCUGCCCGGUGCUGGAAGGUUAAGAGGAGAUGUCAUCGCAAGAGAAGCAUUGAAUUGAAGCCCCAGUAAACGGCGGCCGUAACUAUAACGGUCCUAAGGUAGCGAAAUUCCUUGUCGGGUAAGUUCCGACCUGCACGAAUGGUGUAAUGAUCUGGACACUGUCUCAACCGUGAGCUCAGUGAAAUUGUAGUAUCGGUGAAGAUGCCGAUUACCCGCGAUGGGACGAAAAGACCCCGUGAACCUUUACUAUAGCUUAACAUUGAAUUUGGGUAAUUGAUGUGUAGGAUAGGCCGGAGACUUUGAAGCAGGUACGCCAGUAUUUGUGGAGUCGCUGUUGAAAUACGGCCCUUUGGUUAUUUGAGUUCUAACUCGCUGAUGCGAGGACACUGUUUGGUGGGUAGUUUGACUGGGGUGGUCGCCUCCAAAAGCGUAACGGAGGCUUCUAAAGGUGCCCUCACGCCGAUUGGUAACCGGCGGUAGAGUGUAAUGGCAUAAGGGCGCUUGACUGGGAGACUUACAAGUCGAUCAGGUAG